CACAAGAGAGGCAAACAGUAACCUUCUGAAUAAUCUGCAUGAAAAGUGACUUUACAAGACAUAAAGUGUCCAGUUUGGCUGAUGAUGCCUCGUUUGUGCUACUUUAAAGGAGUGGAGUUUGUAUGUUUUAUGCAGCCUACAAGACAUUUGUUGUGGGAGAACACACGAGGAUCACAUGAGGCAGAGUCAUUGGUCACCCAGAAGAUGACCCUCAACAGCAGCAGUACUGCUGUGAUCCGCAGGAAAGAAGGGUCCUUAAUAACUGAGCAAGCUGUUAUAGAGGCAGUGCACCCCAUGCAGUGAAAGUAGUCUCGCCAAGCUUCUUCCCCAGGACCUACCUCAGCAGCACCUCAACAUCAAGUUUUAUCGAGAUAUAAUUGACACACAUCACUGUAUGAGUUUCAGGUAUACAACAUAAAGGUUUGACUCACUGUAAAAUGAUUGCAACAGUUGGUUGGUUAUAAAGAAACUGUUUAUCUCCUGUCAACCUUACUUCAAUUUGGUGUUUGAGUCUGUGAGAGAACAGCUUAAGACCACUCUGUGGUUAUUCCUACCCAUUCAGUGGCCAGCGUCUUGGGG